AUUGAACGCUGGCGGCAUGCCUUACACACGCAAGUCGAACGGUAACAGGUCUUCGGAUGCUGACGAGUGGCGAACGGGUGAGUAAUACAUCGGAACGUGCCUAGUAGUGGGGGAUAACUACUCGAAAGAGUGGCUAAUACCGCAUGAGAUCUACGGAUGAAAGCAGGGGAUCGCAAGACCUUGUGCUACUAGAGCGGCCGAUGGCAGAUUAGGUAGUUGGUGGGAUAAAAGCUUACCAAGCCGACGAUCUGUAGCUGGUCUGAGAGGACGAUCAGCCACACUGGGACUGAGAAACGGCACAGACUCCUACUGGAGGCAGCAGUGGGGAAUUUUGGACAAUGGGCGCAAGCCUGAUUCAGCAAUGCCGCGUGCAGGAUGAAGGCCUUCGGGUUGUAAACUGCUUUUGUACGGAACGAAAAGCCCCGGGUUAAUACCCUGGGGUCAUGACGGUACCGUAAGAAUAAGCACCGGCUAACUACGUGCCAGCCGCCGCGGUAA
rnacentral:rRNA from 1 species